CCAACUUGCUUUUUGGUCAUGAUGGUUCGUAGAAGCAAUAGAAAACCUAACUAAGACAAAUAGGUACCAGUGUAAUGGGAUAUUGCUGUGACAGAGCUGACCAUGUUUUUGGGAAAGUUGUGGAAGGACUUUGGAACUUGGGCUAGAAGAGUCAUUAAGUGUUAGGAGCUCCGUGGGAUGUUCUGUGGAAACUUGGAAGAUAAGAAUGCUGAGAGCAGUGAAGAGGAUGGAGGUUUAGCUUAUGAAGUUUCAGAGGGAAGUUUAAAGACUGUUGGGGGCCAUUUGUUAUUUUGAGUUAAAAUUCUGUGGUUCUGGUUAUCUGGGGCUGAAGAAUCAAUUGUGAUCAACAAGAUACCAGAACUACUGAAGUGAAACUUUGCUGGGAUAUUUGAUGCUGGUCAGCUGGAGCUAAGAAAUUUGUGGUGAUUAAGAAGAAACCAGCAUCACUGAGGGGAAAUCUUCUAGGAAGUGUUUCUUGAGAGCACAGAGAAGCUGUGUUCCAGAGGCAGUCAAGGUUGUACCUCAUGCUGGCAACCAGACUUGGCUAUGUGUAAGAGUCACCUAAGUGGUACUGGUUUUGAAGGCACACAGGGGUCCUGGAGAGCAGAUGAGGCUUGGCACUGUGAGAGGCCAUUGGUGAAGGCACAGCCUCCAUGGCAGUUGAAGGCCCAGGACUGAAGGGGUCAGGCAAAGAAGUUGAGACUUGGCACCAUGGGGAGAGCCUAUGAGAAGCUAUUGGUGAAGUACAGCCCAGUUAUAGCAGAAGACCCCCGUGUUUUGGAGAUACCAGUAGCAUGGGAUGACCACCAAGAACAGCAGCAGCAGAGUAGAGCCUUCUGGAGCUUAGAAGACAAGCUGUGUGUGCUGAAGAGGGUGGAGCUUGAGAGAGAAGUGACCUAAGCCCUUUGGAAGAGUCCAGAAAAUGAAUUACAAAAUAGAUCAUAACGCAGAAUAGAAGAAUGGCGGAUGGAAUGGUACAGACCAGAAUGAACGUCGGCCCAAGCAGAGCAGAGAAGGUUGGUGUUGCAGAAGAGGACUGGCAGCAGACACAGCCCCCAAGCAGGGCCAGUCAUCACAGCAGCUCUGGUUAUGAGGAAACAGCAGACAGGCAGAGCACAGAAACUAACUGGUUAAUGUCAGGUUACUGCUUCCUACUUCUGACUUAGGAUAAGAGCGGAGAACACCCAUUAGGCUGAUUGAAGCCAGCUGUUUGAGGAGUUUCUUCUUGGUCUUGUGGCAGGAGAGUGGGGCUGAGGAAGAGGCAUCAAGAUUAGCAUAUGUAAGAGGCCAAUGACAGAAAAGGACUGGAAAGUCUGCCCCACUAAGGCUGAUAACAGAGCAUCCACCAAAAAAGUGUGCCCCGUGCAAAUGUCCCAAUCUACCCAACAACAGUGUCACUGACUGUGCAACCUACUUUCCAGGCUCUCUGGUCCACUUCCCAUCCUGCAAGUGUCUGAUUUUUAAAUAAACUGUCUUCAUUUUUACUACCA